CCUACGGGUGGCAGCAGUCGAGAAUCAUUCACAAUGGGGGAAACCCUGAUGCUGCGACGCCGCGUGGGGGAAUGAAGGUCUUCGGAUUGUAAACCCCUGUCAUGUGGGAGCAAAUUAAAAAGAUAGUACCACAAGAGGAAGAGUCGGCUAACUCUGUGCCAGCAGCCGCGGUAAUACAGACGUCGCAUGCGUUGUUCGGAAUCACUGGGGGUAAAGCGUGCGCAGGCGGUAUCUGAAGUCGUGUGGGAACGGGGCGGGCUCAACCCGCGGACGGCACAUGAUACUGCGAGACUAGAGAAGUGGAGGGGGAUGCGGAAUGCGCGGUGUAGCAGUGAAAUGCGUAGAUAUUGAGAGGAACACUGGUGGCGAAGGCGGGUUCCUGG
rnacentral:rRNA from 1 species